rnacentral:rRNA from 1 species
CCUACGGGAGGCUGCAGUGAGGAAUAUUGGUCAAUGGGCGCGAGCCUGAACCAGCCAAGUCGCGUGAGGGAUGACGGUCCUACGGAUUGUACACCUCUUUUGCCGGGGAGCAAGCGUUCGUUCGUGAACGCGCGUCGCGAGUACCCGGAGAAAAAGCAUCGGCUAACUCCGUGCCAGCAGCCGCGGUAAUACGGAGGAUGCGAGCGUUAGCCGGAUUUAUUUGGUUUAAAGGGUGCGUAGGCGGGAUGCCAAGUCAGCGGUAAAAAUGCGGUGCUCAACGCCGUCGAGCCGUUGAAACUGGCGUUCGUGAGUGGGCGAGAAGUAUGCGGAAUGCGUGGUGUAGCGGUGAAAUGCUUAGAUAUCACGAAGAACUCCGAUUGCGAAGGCAGCUUACUAAACUGCCACUGACAUUGAUGCUCGAAAGUGUGGGUAUCAAACAGGAUUAGAUACCCCUGUAGUC